rnacentral:rRNA from 1 species
UACGUAGGGGGCAAGCGUUAUCGAAUUCGAUUGGUGCGUAAAGAGCUCGUAGGCGGUUUGUCGCGUCUGCCGUGAAAGUCCGGGGCUCAACUCCGGAUCUGCGGUGGGUACGGGCAGACUAGAGUGAUGUAGGGGAGACUGGAAUUCCUGGUGUAGCGGUGAAAUGCGCAGAUAUCAGGAGGAACACCGGUGGCGAAGGCGGGUCUCUGGGCAGUAACUGACGCUGAGGAGCGAAAGCGUGGGGAGCGAACAGG